rnacentral:misc_RNA from 1 species
AAGAAGAAGAAAAAGAAGAAGAUUAGAAGAAAGAGAUUCGAGAAACAGAACAACUGCCAUAGCUCUAAUAAUUGUUUCUAACUUUUUUUCUCUUUUAUAAUUCACUUAUUCCUAAAACUUCUUCUAUAUGUAACUUAGAUGAAGUCAUCAAGCAAUCAAGCAUAUCUAGUGAAAUUGUUGGAAAAGAAGUCCUUUCGGCAACAUUUUAUAGACUAAGAAACAUUACCAGAAACUUUGUGUUUUAAAUGAAGCAACUCCACAAUACUCAACAAGAUGACAAUCAAUUGAAUGUUUCAACUUAGAAACUGGGAACAUGACUAUAGAUAUCAAUGUUAAAACCUUAUGCUAAAAAUAAAAGCAAUUGUAAAUUAAACAAUAUACAAAAAUUUGGACAUUAACACCAAGAUACCUAAGAAAACAUUUACAUACAUAGAACAUAAUCAUUUCUUAUUACAAAAUAAAAAUGAAAAAUGCAAUACUAAUGCAAAUAUCUAGGCCACAUGCUGUGAAGAAAACUUAUGUAUAGCAAAGAUAUUACCAUAUGUUGUACAAUUGUAUACAUAGAAUUUUAUUAAAAAUAAAAAAUAAAAUAAAUAUUUACACCUGUCAAGACUGUUACCCCAGUAUUUCCUCAAAAUUUUCCCCCCAAUGCCAUCACUCUCUUCAAAUACAAGCAGCUAGAUUGAAUAUGCAUCUAUUUCUAGACCCAUCAUAUUUCCACAUAACAUAAAUAAAAUGAUCCAUUAAACCUAAGCCAAAUCAAUCAUAAUAGCAUGAAAACAAAUGUAAAAAUACACAUCCAUCCUUCUAAUCCGUAAUGAUCUAGGUUUUUAACAAAAAUAAAACAUAUGAAUAAAAAAAGAAAACUUUCGAUUAAAUAAAUCAAAACAAUCAAAAUUUUAAAAAAUAAAAAAUAAAAAAAAUAGAGAGAAAAGGUAUGGAAAUCCUCACAAACAACACCAUAACCCUCCUCCCUUAAUCGCAAAUCGAACACACGACCAAUAAUGAUGGCACAACUACAAUUAAAUCAAGCAGAUUUUUGAGGAGUUCAGGUUCACCUUGUCAGAUUCUUCAUUGUGCUCGAAUUCAGGCGCAACUCAUUUUAAUUUUAUUAGAAUCAACUUCAGCCCACGUAUAGUUCACUUAUCAACUUGCAAGCUCAACUCAUAUUUUGUCAAGCUUAGAAAAUUGAAUCACAUUUAACUUGUUUAUCAAGCUCGAAAGCUUAAGCACGACUCAUUAUUAAGUUUAACAAACCAAAUUGCUAAACAACCUAAUAAUUAUUUUUAUUAAUUAUUAUAUAAAAAAUUUGUAUUAAUUUUUAUUCAUCUUGAUCAAAAUAGGUCAAAUAAAUCAAAAUAACAAAACUAAUAAUUAUAUUCACCUUUGAUUAAAUUAUGAAAAGAACAUAAUUAAUACUUAACGAAACAUAAAAUGAUUAUAUUCUAACAAGGUUUUCACAAGCCUCUAAAUGAACCAGAUAUCAAGUUUAUAAACAUAUUAAGUAGCUGACUCACAACUUCUUAAUUAGUAAGCGAGCAGAAACAACCUUUUUAUCGAGUUCAGGGUCCUAAAAAAAAUCAAAAUAAGAAUGAUAAAAUUGAAACAUAAAUUGCAAAAAAAAUUAAAUCUAAGAAAACAGAGAACAGAGAACAAAGGGUAAGAGGGGAAAAAUAAUUUCAAAAAAAUUGUGAUAAAAUAAAGAGAGAUUUAACAGAAAAAAUCAUCGCCAUCCUUAUUAAAGAGGCUGACGGCUUCCUUGAACUUAGAGAUCUGGUCGUCGGUGAGCUAAUCGACCAUAUUUGAAGCUAUGUGUUGUGAGACAGAAAAAAGGAAGAAAAUACAAAGAGGAGAAAAUGAUAAUAACAUGCGC